CCAAGGUUAAAUAAUCUGUGCUGUUAUUUUGAAAUGCUCCAUGCUGUUAUUUUGAAAGGAUUGUUCCCUCUGCCAGCGGGUUACUUCCUGUUUAUUUUAUCAGCCUGUCGCAUGUCGAGAUGCUGGUUCGACUGACCAAUCAGGUGUCAGCUCUCAUCUAGUUCACCUCCGUAAAAAAAAAGGUUUUCCCUCUCUUGAGAAGCGAGGAGCGAGAGCAAACAUCGAAACACACAGUACAUGAAAGAUAGACAGAAAAACUCUAAAAGUUGAUUAAAAUUGAUGAAAACUGGCUGGAUAGUUUCACUACCAUCCCGUGAGAGAACAGCGAGAAGGAUCUGUCCUCACUAGAGGAGUAAUAACGCAUCGGUCAGGUUUUUUGUGGAUCCCGAGAGUUCCCGAUCUACCUGGAGUUGGAGCUAGACGUUUGAUGGCGAGCUACGGCCCAAUGGAGAAGAAUUAGUGAAUCAAUUGCAUGCAGAAGAUUGGAAUCCUGAACCCCAGAAACUUUGCUUCCACGCACACAGUCAACGCAUUCAACAGUGCGGUAGGAUAAACAGUUGCCACUUUUCCAGUGGACUGGGCAGUAUUACCUGCUGCAAGGACUAAGUGUUUGAGUUUGAAGGGUUAAAUUGAAUAUUGAACCAAAGACUAUUUAAACAGCUGUGAAUUGUUUUCUUAUUUUUUUAUUUUUCAUAUCUACCCGGGUAACAAUUGUACAAAUUAUUUACACUGUAACUGUUUUCUAUUCAUCCUUCCCUGUUUUAUUAAAUGGGAAGAGGAGUUCUUUCUAAAAGGAGA